rnacentral:tRNA from 1 species
GCUGGAGUUGUGGUUCAGUGGUAGAAUGCUUGCCUAGCAUGUGUGAGGCCCUGGGUUGGAUUCUCAGCCCUGCA